rnacentral:lncRNA from 1 species
CUGUGCCUAUGCUGGACUUGAAACUUUCUGUCUGUCAAAAAAUAAAAGAAGAUGGAAGGAAGGAUGUACAGAAGGAAGGAAAAAAAAGGAAGAACCUGUGACUAUGAAGCAACACCCAAAGCCACUGUCAGAUGUCAUGGAGAUGAGACCUCACAAGAAGGCCAGAAAACAACAGACUAACUCCGGAUAUGAGAAACUCUUUAUAAAUACUUAUAAGUACUGUUGGCUACAAUAGUUCUAAAGCCUUAACAAGUGAUGUUGAAACAAAAUGAAUAAUGAUUAUUCCUAU